UUUGAUCCUGGCUCAGGACGAACGCUGGCGGCGUGCUUAACACAUGCAAGUCGAACGGUGAAGCGCCUUCCUUUUUGGUGGGUGUGGAUGAGUGGCGAACGGGUGAGUAACACGUGAGUAACCUGCCCCCUUCUUCUGGAUAACCGCAUGAAAGUGUGGCUAAUACGGGAUAUUCUGUGCCUGCUGCAUGGUGGGUGUGGGAAAGAUUGCGCUUUUUUGGUGUUUUUGGUGGGGGAUGGGCUCGCGGCCUAUCAGCUUGUUGGUGGGGUGAUGGCCUACCAAGGCGGUGACGGGUAGCCGGCCUGAGAGGGUGGACGGUCACACUGGGACUGAGACACGGCCCAGACUCCUACGGGAGGCAGCAGUGGGGAAUAUUGCACAAUGGGCGCAAGCCUGAUGCAGCGACGCCGCGUGAGGGAUGGAGGCCUUCGGGUUGUGAACCUCUUUCGCCAGUGAAGCAGGCCUGCUCCUUUUUUGUGGGUGGGUUGACGGUAGCUGGAUAAGAAGCGCCGGCUAACUACGUGCCAGCAGCCGCGGUAAUACGUAGGGCGCGAGCGUUGUCCGGAAUUAUUGGGCGUAAAGAGCUCGUAGGCGGCUGGUCGCGUCUGUCGUGAAAUCCUCUGGCUUAACUGGGGGCUUGCGGUGGGUACGGGCCGGCUUGAGUGCGGUAGGGGAGACUGGAACUCCUGGUGUAGCGGUGGAAUGCGCAGAUAUCAGGAAGAACACCGGUGGCGAAGGCGGGUCUCUGGGCCGUUACUGACGCUGAGGAGCGAAAGCGUGGGGAGCGAACAGGAUUAGAUACCCUGGUAGUCCACGCCGUAAACGUUGGGCACUAGGUGUGGGGGGCCUUUUCCGGGUUUUCCGCGCCGUAGCUAACGCAUUAAGUGCCCCGCCUGGGGAGUACGGCCGCAAGGCUAAAACUCAAAGGAAUUGACGGGGGCCCGCACAAGCGGCGGAGCAUGCGGAUUAAUUCGAUGCAACGCGAAGAACCUUACCAAGGCUUGACAUGUGCCGGUCGGCUCCGGAGACGGGGUUUCCUCCUUGUGGGGCCGGUUCACAGGUGGUGCAUGGUUGUCGUCAGCUCGUGUCGUGAGAUGUUGGGUUAAGUCCCGCAACGAGCGCAACCCUUGUCUCGUGUUGCCAGCACGUUGUGGUGGGGACUCGCGGGAGACUGCCGGGGUCAACUCGGAGGAAGGUGGGGAUGACGUCAAAUCAUCAUGCCCCUUAUGUCUUGGGCUUCACGCAUGCUACAAUGGCCGGUACAGAGGGCUGCGAUACCGUGAGGUGGAGCGAAUCCCUUAAAGCCGGUCUCAGUUCGGAUCGGUGUCUGCAACUCGACACCGUGAAGUUGGAGUCGCUAGUAAUCGCAGAUCAGCAACGCUGCGGUGAAUACGUUCUCGGGCCUUGUACACACCGCCCGUC
rnacentral:rRNA from 1 species